rnacentral:piRNA from 1 species
UAUGCCCUUUUCCGUUUUUUG